rnacentral:rRNA from 1 species
GACGAACGCUGGCGGCGUGCUUAACACAUGCCAGUCGAACGGAAAGGCCCUGCUUUUGUGGGGUGCUCGAGUGGCGAACGGGUGAGUAACACGUGAGUAACCCGCCCUUGACUUUGGGAUAACUUCAGGAAACUGGGGCUAAUACCGGAUAGGAGCUCCUGCUGCAUGGUGGGGGUUGGAAAGUUUCGGCGGUUGGGGAUGGACUCGCGGCUUAUCAGUUUGUUGGUGGGGUAGUGGCUUACCAAGGCUUUGACGGGUAGCCGGCCUGAGAGGGGGACCGGCCACAUUGGGACUGCGAUACGGCGCAGACUCCUACGGGAGGCAGCAGGGGGGAAUAUUGCACAAUGGGCGGAAGCGUGAUGCAGCAACGCCGCGUGCGGGAUGACGGCCUUCGGGUUGUAAACCGCUUUCGCCUGUGACGAAGCGUGAGUGACGGUAAUGGGUAAAGAAGCACCGGCUAACUACGUG